AUGAACGCUGGCGGCGUGCCUAAUACCUGCAAGUCGAGCGAACGGACGAGAAGCUUGCUUCUCUGAUGUUAGCGGCGGACGGGUGAGUAACACGUGGAUAACCUACCUAUAAGACUGGGAUAACUUCGGGAAACCGGAGCUAAUACCGGAUAAUAUUUUGAACCGCAUGGUUCAAAAGUGAAAGACGGUCUUGCUGUCACUUAUAGAUGGAUCCGCGCUGCAUUAGCUAGUUGGUAAGGUAACGGCUUACCAAGGCAACGAUGCAUAGCCGACCUGAGAGGGUGAUCGGCCACACUGGAACUGAGACACGGUCCAGACUCCUACGGGAGGCAGCAGUAGGGAAUCUUCCGCAAUGGGCGAAAGCCUGACGGAGCAACGCCGCGUGAGUGAUGAAGGUCUUCGGAUCGUAAAACUCUGUUAUUAGGGAAGAACAUAUGUGUAAGUAACUGUGCACAUCUUGACGGUACCUAAUCAGAAAGCCACGGCUAACUACGUG
rnacentral:rRNA from 1 species